CAGCAGCCCAUCCCCCUUUAAGAAUCCGCCGCUCACUUCCUCGCCGCCAUUCACGCCAUCCGACCGGUUAGGUAAGCUCGCCGACCGUCUUCUUUAACCCUGUUCUUGUUGCCGUCGACCUGAAGCCUCGUUCGCACGAAAUCAGCAGGCUUUGCUCGCGAAUCAUCCGUCGCCAUGGCGUGUCCAGAAGUGGCGAGUGGAAGGCCUAACUGGCCGGAAAUUUUCCGGGCAGACCCUCGUCGGCCUUGUUUUAAUUCUAUCGCCGUUUGGAAGCGAAGGGUCCUUGGUGGCCGGCCGUUUAAGCUCACGGAGAGCGUGGCCGAAACUCUGAGCCGAGAAUAGAGUUGCCGACUCAGUUACCCACGAACUUCAAAUCGAGCCGUUUAGCUCGUGAUUGUAUUGAUUCGGACCGACCUCCUGUUCGAGUUGACGGUGGGAGACGUAGUUAUCGUUAGUUAUUUUUGUCGAAGUGUGUCUCUAAGGUGCUAAAUCUUGUUUGUGAUAAUUAUUUGAUUGUCGGAAUUUGAGUGGAAGCAUGAUUAUUUUAUGGUAAUGUUGAAUUGAUUAUAUUUCAAAUAGUAUGUUGAUUGAAAGUUAUUUUCGAGUAUGAUGGUUAUGUGACAUUGAUGUAUAGGUUGAAAUUUAGAAAAGUAUCAUAUGUGAUAUGUGUUAUUUAUCGACUUGGAUUAUUUGUAUAUGUAAUUAUUACAUUCGAUUUAUAUCAAAAUUCGGAUAUAUGAUAUUAUAGUAUGUGUUAUUUAUAUAUGCGUUAUUCGGAUUGGAUUGGAUAUUGGAUGUGUGCGCCAUUUGCAUAAUAUAUUGGGACGAAUUUUGAUGGGGGAAGUUUGAUAGGAUGAAUUUCACUUCGGAUUCAGUGACUUCUGUUUUUGUGGUGGAUCUCACUUCGACUGGUGUUAGUAGUUAGAGUGGUUCUAGAGUGGUUCUAGGGAACCUACUUUUUGGAUGAAGUGGUGAAGUAUGGGUGGGUGUAUGAGUAUUUGCAUAUUAUUCAAAUAUAUGGUUAUCAUUAUUGAUUCGGACUAUGAUUAAUUUUGGUUAAUUCGGAUUAUACUAUGACUUAUGUUUGUUUGCACUUCAGAUGCACACUAAGCUUAUUAACUUACAUCCUAUUAGUUUAUCUAUUUCAGAUACUCGGACAUAGGAGAUUCGAUACU